UUUGAAAUCUCGACUUCGGUCCGAGUUGUAAUUUGUAGAGGGUAUUUGGAAAGCGAUGUCGGCCUAAGUCCCUUGGAACAGGGCGUCAUAGAGGGUGAGAAUCCCGUAUGUGGCCAUGCGUCAAUUUCAUGUCAAAUCUCUUCGACGAGUCGAGUUGUUUGGGAAUGCAGCUCAAAAUGGGUGGUAAAUUUCAUCUAAAGCUAAAUACCGGCCAGAGACCGAUAGCGCACAAGUAGAGUGAUCGAAAGAUGAAAAGCACUUUGGAAAGAGAGUUAAACAGUACGUGAAAUUGUUGAAAGGGAAGCGCUUGCCAUUAGACCGAUCUUCAGGCAGCAGUUUAGAGGCAACUCUGGAUGUAAAGCACCUGUUCUUCGGCCAGCAUCGGUUUAGGUGGUUUGACAAAACCGUAAGAACGUAGCUCCUCGGAGUGUUAUAGCUUAUGGUAUAAUGAAGCCUACCUGGACCGAGGACCGCGCUUCGGCUAGGAUGCUGGCGUAAU
rnacentral:rRNA from 1 species